rnacentral:lncRNA from 1 species
UUUCCACCGUCAUCCAGAGCAGGACAAACACGCCAGGUGGUGUCAGGAGCCCAGGUCUCCAGCUGGAGGGAAUGUCAACCCUGCAGUGGGAGCCCAUCAUGCAUCCUAGGCACAGAUGCUAACGUAGGCACCGCAGACCAUAAAGGAAAACAGCAAGAGGUCCCCAGCAAACAUCUACAGAUGGCCCUGGACAUCAGCCACAUUCAGAGAAACGUGUCAUGUUCUGGGAGGGCUAAGGCAUCGAGAAUCCCAGUGAAUAUAUUGCCACCAUCUUGGAGCUCAGUGCCCUCAUAGUGUAACAGCACCAGCAGAUCUGCCUGUGCACAGACUUCCUGUACUACCUCACUCCUGAGGGGAGAUGCUUCUGCAGGGCCUGCGACCUGGUGCACAACUUUAGACACCAUCAUCCUGGAGCGGCACUGCACCCUCACUAGCCAGGGUGUUGAUGACUUCCUCAAUGCCAAGGCCACGUUCAAGAUUUUCGACUUCAGUGAUGCGUUUGUGCUGAGCAAGGUGGGCUUCUCCGGGAUCUUAAUUCAGGAGGUAGAAUGCAGCUUGAGAUCUAGUGUCUGAUCAAAGAACUUGAACUUGACCUGGAGGGCUCUGGGGAGCCAUGGAAGGUGCUGGAUAAAGGAAGGGACAGUCAUAUAUAUUUUAGAGAUGACUGUGGAAGGCUGCCUGGAAGGAGUGAACAAGAGCCAGGAGACCAGGGAGGGAGUUUGUGGGGCAGGUCUGGAGAUGGCAAGGGAGGGAUCCUGC